rnacentral:tRNA from 1 species
ACCUGGCUGGCUCAGUCAGUAGAGCAUGUGACUCUUGAUCUCAGGGUUGUGAGUUUGAGCCCCACAUUGGGUG